UCCGAGUUGUAAUUUGCAGAGGAUGCUUCGGGUUCAGCUCCGGUCUAAGUUCUUUGGAACAGGACGUCAUAGAGGGUGAGAAUCCCGUAUGUGACCGGUCGCCACGCCCGUGUGAAGCUCCUUCGACGAGUCGAGUUGUUUGGGAAUGCAGCUCAAAAUGGGUGGUAAAUUUCAUCUAAAGCUAAAUAUUGGCCAGAGACCGAUAGCGCACAAGUAGAGUGAUCGAAAGAUGAAAAGCACUUUGGAAAGAGAGUCAAACAGUACGUGAAAUUGUUGAAAGGGAAGCGCUUGCAACCAGACUUGCCCGCAGGCGAUCAGCCGGUAUUCUUACCGGUGCACUCGCCUGCGGUCAGGCCAGCAUCGGUUCGGGUGGCUGGAUAAAGUCCACUGGAAUGUAGCUCCCCUCGGGGAGUGUUAUAGCCAGAGGUGCCAUGCAGCCCGCCCGGACCGAGGACCGCGCUUCGGCUAGGAUGCUGGCGUAAUGGUUGUAAGCGACCCGUCUUGAAACACGGACCAAGGAGUCUAACAUCUAUGCGAGUGUUUGGGUGUCAAACCCAUGCGCGUAAUGAAAGUGAACGGAGGUGGGAACCCUCAAGGGUGCACCAUCGACCGAUCCUGAUGUCUUCGGAUGGAUUUGAGUAAGAGCAUAGCUGUUGGGACCCGAAAGAUGGUGAACUAUGCCUGAAUAGGGUGAAGCCAGAGGAAACUCUGGUGGAGGCUCGCAGCGGUUCUGACGUGCAAAUCGAUCGUCAAAUUUGGGUAUAGGGGCGAAAG
rnacentral:rRNA from 1 species